rnacentral:rRNA from 1 species
UAGAGUUUGAUCCUGGCUCAGGAUGAACGCUAGCGACAGGCCUAACACAUGCAAGUCGAGGGGCAUCGGGGCGAGGAGCAAUCCUUGCCGCCGGCGACCGGCGCACGGGUGAGUAACGCGUAUGCGACCUGCCCGUUGCAGGGGGAUAAUCGGGAGAAAUCCCGUCUAAUACCGCGUAACGCCGCGGGGCUGCAUGGCCCUGCGGCCAAAGGAAGCGAUUCCGGCAACGGAUGGGCAUGCGUGACAUUAGCUAGUUGGCGGGGCAACGGCCCACCAAGGCGACGAUGUCUAGGGGUUCUGAGAGGAAGGUCCCCCACACUGGUACUGAGACACGGACCAGACUCCUACGGGAGGCAGCAGUGAGGAAUAUUGGUCAAUGGGCGCGAGCCUGAACCAGCCAAGUCGCGUGAGGGAUGACGGCCCUACGGGUUGUAAACCUCUUUUGUCGGGGAGCAAAUUCCGCCACGUGUGGCGGAGUCGAGAGUACCCGAAGAAAAAGCAUCGGCUAACUCCGUGCCAGCAGCCGCGGUAAUACGGAGGAUGCGAGCGUUAUCCGGAUUUAUUGGGUUUAAAGGGUGCGCAGGCGGAAGAUCAAGUCAGCGGUAAAAUUGAGAGGCUCAACCUCUUCGAGCCGUUGAAACUGGUUUUCUUGAGUGAGCGAGAAGUAUGCGGAAUGCGUGGUGUAGCGGUGAAAUGCAUAGAUAUCACGCAGAACUCCGAUUGCGAAGGCAGCAUACCGGCGCUCAACUGACGCUCAUGCACGAAAGUGUGGGUAUCGAACAGGAUUAGAUACCCUGGUAGUCCACACAGUAAACGAUGAAUACUAAUUGUUCGGGGAGAAUGAUCCCUGAGUGAUACAGCGAAAGCGUUAAGUAUUCCACCUGGGGAGUACGCCGGCAACGGUGAAACUCAAAGGAAUUGACGGGGGCCCGCACAAGCGGAGGAACAUGUGGUUUAAUUCGAUGAUACGCGAGGAACCUUACCCGGGCUCAAACGACACAGGAAUACUUUUGAAAGGAGGUAGCUCUACGGAGUCUGUGUCGAGGUGCUGCAUGGUUGUCGUCAGCUCGUGCCGUGAGGUGUCGGCUUAAGUGCCAUAACGAGCGCAACCCCCAUCGCCAGUUACCAGCAAGUCAAGUUGGGGACUCUGGCGAGACUGCCGGCGCAAGCUGUGAGGAAGGCGGGGAUGACGUCAAAUCAGCACGGCCCUUACGUCCGGGGCGACACACGUGUUACAAUGGCAGGUACAGAGAGAAGCAAUGCGGCGACGCAAAGCGGAACUUGAAAGCCUGUCUCAGUUCGGAUUGGAGUCUGCAACUCGACUCCAUGAAGCUGGAUUCGCUAGUAAUCGCGCAUUAGCCAUGGCGCGGUGAAUACGUUCCCGGGCCUUGUACACACCGCCCGUCAAGCCAUGGAAGCCGGGAGUGCCUGAAGUGCGUGAGCGCAAGCAGCGCCCUAGGGUAAAACCGGUGACUGGGGCUAAGUCGUAAUCAAGGUAACCGUAA